UCCCUGGAGGACUAGUGGUUAGGCUUUGGCGCUCUCACUGCCGUGGCCAGGGGUUCGAUUCCUGGCCAGGGAA